rnacentral:lncRNA from 1 species
CCAUACAUAAUUUUUUCCUCUAAACCAAAUGAACAGAGGUUUAAUUUAUAAACAUAAAUGGGCUGAGAUUUCACAAAGUGAACCGGACAUUUUCCAGUAACUCAGGCCACUCCACACACCAGGAUAUGCCACACCAGGAUAUGCCACAAUAGCCAACUUCAAAAGUCAGCCAUUGCACAAAUUUCACCCUGUCCGAUCGAUAAAUUUAGUGGAGAUGGACAUACAUAUAAUAUAUGAUUGGAUCCUAUAUUGUACCACCAUUAAUUUUUGGUACAAAGAGGCCACAAUCACUUUUAGCCAUUUGAUGUUAAAUCCAAAAAAUAAAAGUGUGUCACUACAUCCGAGAAAUUUUAUUUUGGGCUUUGUGCUCAAACAAUAACACAUCUUCAACCACCCGAUUUCAAAUCUAACGAUCAACAACGAUUGUGACCUCUUUGUACAAAAAGUAGAUCGUCCCAAUAGGUACAUUUCCUUGUACGCUAAUGGCAAGUGGGACAAGGAAAUACUAUUAUUUCAGAGAGUUAAAAUUUACAGAUCUGAGAAAACAUAGUCAUUUAUGACACUUUGAUAUCCUAGCAUCAUAAGGGUAACAUAAACCACUAUAACAUACUUUACAUACCAAUCAGGCAUUGGCAGCUUUCUGCUCUGGCACUGUGGUAGCAUCCCCAUUCGACUUAGCCCUCUUAGCUUCAUAGUCCUUAAUAGCUGCCUUGAUCGCGNNN